AGCGAACGCUGGCGGCAGGCCUAACACAUGCAAGUCGAACGAACCUUUCGGGGUUAGUGGCGGACGGGUGAGUAACACGUGGGAACGUGCCUUUAGGUUCGGAAUAACUCAGGGAAACUUGUGCUAAUACCGAAUGUGCCCUUCGGGGGAAAGAUUUAUCGCCUUUAGAGCGGCCCGCGUCUGAUUAGCUAGUUGGUUGAGGUAAUGGCUCACCAAGGCGACGAUCAGUAGCUGGUCUGAGAGGAUGAUCAGCCACAUUGGGACUGAGACACGGCCCAAACUCCUACGGGAGGCAGCAGUGGGGAAUCUUGCGCAAUGGGCGAAAGCCUGACGCAGCCAUGCCGCGUGAAUGAUGAAGGUCUUAGGAUUGUAAAAUUCUCUCACCGGGGACGAUAAUGACGGUACCCGGAGAAGAAGCCCCGGCUAACUUCGUG
rnacentral:rRNA from 1 species